UCGCCUCAGGAAAAGAAUAAAAAAUAAAAAUUAUACAGCAGAUUGGGUCAGUUGGAUGCUGGAGCCAACAGUCCGUUAGGCCGGAGGGUAUUCUGGGGUUACAGCCCCUCACAAUAAUGGAGGCUGUGGGAAAGAAUAGGGAUGUUUUCAGAAAGAUUCAUGUAAAGGGCAUGUCCUUACAGAGUAGACUCCAAAUUCACUUUCACCUCUAGGUUCCUGAGGGAAACUGAGAGCUCCCAAGAAGCCUAGCAAAGGUUUCCUAUCAGCCCACUACGUUGACGUAGACUUCUAUGACGUAGACCACACAGAGAUCUAUAGGGCCCUCUAGGAGUUAUAGCUCUAAAGUGAUGAUGGCAUGUGGGCUUCUGGGAUAGUCUCUCCACAUUUGCAUCCUGAAUGGCUUUGGGAAACCCAACAUUUCACUUCACAUUUUGGGAAACCCCAUUUCACUUAAGACCCUCAGUCCUUUGGAAACUUGGCUCUCCUGAGUAAUUUAUUUCCCCAAAUCCUUCCCUCCAGGAAUUUGUAAACCUAUCAGGGGAAAGGCUUUCCACACUGAGCAUGGUGUAAAUGGUAAACUCUAAAACUGAUUUCCUUUCAGAUGGAAGGGGGAAGUCCUGGGAAAGCCCCUUGACUUUGGGAUUGAGAAGGGUUGGUGCCCUCUGCUCUAGAACCUGUAUUAUUAUGCUGUAUUUCUGUCUCUUCCAGGCACUGACUGGAGCCUCCAAGAACAAAACUCCCCUAUUGCAUCCUCAGGAAUGAGAUCGCCUCCCAUCAGGCUCCAAGAUGGCAAACCACUCUAGUCUCUCUGCCAAGAAAACCCAAAAUGGGGUCAUGAAGAGUUGGACCCGACAGCUCCCUCACCUCCAAAUAUACAGUUCUCUUUUUGGCUACUGAAGCCCCUCACAGUCUGUCUCUGAAUCUUCCUAGCCCUUUACUUCUAGUCCUACAAAAUAGCGAUGCUGGACUUCUUGCCUUCUUGCUGUCCUUCUUACACAUAUUCAAUCUCUUCCUACCAUGACUUCCAUGGGCCGUACAAUGGUUUCUCUGCCUCCUGCUUUGGUUGGCGUGCUUCGGGUCCCAGCUCAAAUACCACCUUCCCCUUGAGGCCUUUCCCGGUCCCCUGACCUGGCCUCUCUUGCUCCCUGCUAGUGGUUUUCCAAGGUAAUCUUCCUCCUUCAUGGAUCCAUCUCCAUUAUUCCUUUGGUCUGGCUGUCCUGUACUCCUAGAUUGUGACCUCCCUGUGGACAAGGAGACAGUUGUGUCUUUCUUUGUGGCCCUACCUCUUAGUACCUCUCAGUCCAAUCAUCAAUGCUCAAGAAACUGCUUGUCGAUUGACUGAAUGAGAUGAUGGAGAUGGAGGUCCAAAUGGGGCUGUCCCGUGGUUUCAGGGGCUCCCCAGGGCUGGGUGGGGGUGAGGCAGAGAAGGGAUGCCCAGGAUAGCAAUGGGAGGAGCCCCUGCUCUUGGUCCUGCAGAAGGUGGGACCAUGUCCUAAUGUGAACAGGGAUGAUGGAGAUGGGAUCGUUACCCCCAUAAGGCAUAUGAGGCAGCAUACCCCACGUGAUAAAGAACUGUCAGAGCUGGAUUGAAUCAUUUCUCUGAGCCCUCCUGGCUGUGCGAUCCUGGGCGUCAACUUAUUCAACCUUUCUGGUCUCAUCUGUACCAUGGGAAUAAUAAUUCUUGUGCAGCACAUAGCUCAUCAGGUUGCUGUGAGGAUCAAAUGGAAUCCUGGAUUUAAAACAUUCGAAAAACUUCAGGAGAUCUAUAAAUGUCAUCGAUAACAUCUUGGCAAUAAAAUCUUGGACUGGAAGAAAAUUUGGAUGUGAAAAAAAUAAAAUUGAUUUAAAAAACAGCCACCACGUUUGGAAUUCUAGAAGACCUUGCUUAUGUGGAAUGGAGCAUUUGGUGAGGGAUGUCUGAAAGGCAGUUGAAAAUGGAAGACAGGAGCUUAGCAGAGAAACUGAAGCAGGAUGGAUAGAUUUGAGAAUUAUCUGCAUAAAGAUGCCCUGGAUUGCCUUGAAGUAACCCUGCAGUAUUCCAAGGAUCAUUGUUUUUGGCCCAAUAUCACGUGCAGAUAGGAGCUUCUAGAGGACACAUGCACUGUGGGGAAUCCCUCCACUUGAACUCUACAUAAUCUUCGGGACCACGGUGCACUCUUUGGUUUGAGGCAUUGCUCCACAUCCGACGGGGGUGGAAGGGGGGCUGGCUGUUGCCCUAAUUUCUCCCCUGACUGAACUCUCAAGGAAUCUUGUGUGUUCUUAACAUUGUGCAUUACUGGCAUUGGGAACUCUGUUAUGGAGGGAGCCGAGACAGGCAGGCGGAGGCUGAAGUCUGCUUCUGCUGCUUUUCUCUGCCUUCAUCUCAUGAAAUGCCCUUUUCACACACCUCCAUUGAACCCUCUGGGUUGGUAGCUGGCUCCAGGGCUGAGGCUGCUGGAGGUUGAGGGAAGAUAAGUAAUCAUAAGCAAGACCCACAGUACUUUUAUCCCAUGAAAACUUCAUAACCAUCUAGUAAGGACACAAUUGUGGUAAGAUGGUAACUAAGCCUCUUUUUCUUCCUAAUGAAUUUCCAAUGGAAAAUAUUUUAAGUUUUAUUGUUCAAUUUAUCACUUUUCACUUGAUUUAAAAUGUUGUAUUAAAUCAUGUAUGUUGCAGUUUAAUAAUAAAAAAGC